GAUUGAGAGUGGCGAACGGGUGAGUAAUGCAUCGGAACAUACCCAGUCGUGGGGGAUAACGUAGCGAAAGUUACGCUAAUACCGCAUACGUCCUGAGGGAGAAAGCGGGGGAUCGCAAGACCUCGCGCGAUUGGAGUGGCCGAUGUCAGAUUAGCUAGUUGGUGGGGUAAAGGCCUACCAAGGCGACGAUCUGUAGCGGGUCUGAGAGGAUGAUCCGCCACUCUGGGACUGAGACACGGCCCAGACUCCUACGUGAGGCAGCAGUGGGGAAUUUUGGACAAUGGGCGCAAGCCUGAUCCAGCCAUGCCGCGUGCGGGAAGAAGGCCUUCGGGUUGUAAACCGCUUUCAGGUGGAAAGAAAUCGUUCUGGCCAAUACCCAGGAUGGAUGACGGUACCAUCAGAAGAAGCACCGGCUAACUACGUGCCAGCAGCCGCGGUAAUACGUAGGGUGCGAGCGUUAAUCGGAAUUACUGGGCGUAAAGCGUGCGCAGGCGGCUUUUUAAGCCAGACGUGAAAUCCCCGGGCUUAACCUGGGAACUGCGUUUGGAACUGGAAAGCUAGAGUGUGUCAGAGGGGGGUGGAAUUCCGCGUGUAGCAGUGAAAUGCGUAGAUAUGCGGAGGAACACCGAUGGCGAAGGCAGCCCCCUGGGAUAACACUGACGCUCAUGCACGAAAGCGUGGGGAGCAAGCAGGAUUAGAUACCCUGGUAGUCCACGCCCUAAACGAUGUCAACUGGCUGUUGGGAGAGAAAUCUUUCAGUAGCGAAGCUAACGCGUGAAGUUGACCGCCUGGGGAGUACGGCCGCAAG
rnacentral:rRNA from 1 species